rnacentral:rRNA from 1 species
AGCUCCAAUAGCGUAUAUUAAAGUUGUUGCAGUUAAAAAGCUCGUAGUUGGAUUUCUGGUUCGCUGCGCCUGGCCCGCCUGCGUUAGCAGUGUGAGUGCCGGUUCGCGCGGCGGCCAUCCUUCUGGAGAACGGGCCUGCUCUUCACUGAGUGGGGUCCGCGACCCAGAUCUUUUACUUUGAAAAAAUUAGAGUGUUUAAAGCAGGCAAUUGCUCUGAAUACAUUAGCAUGGAAUAAUGAUAUAGGACUUUGGUUCUAUUUUGUUGGUUUCUAGGACUAAAGUAAUGAUUGAUAGGGAUAGUUGGGGGUGCUAGUAUUGAGCGGCCAGAGGUGAAAUUCUUGGAUUCGCUCAAGACUAACUUAUGCGAAAGCAUUCACCAAGGAUGUCUUCUUUAAUCAAG